CAGCACCUCAAGUGGUCAGGAUGAUUAUUGGGCCUAAAGCAUCCGUAGCCGGCUCUGCAAGUUUUCGGUUAAAUCUGUAUGCUCAACAUACAGGCUGCCGGGAAUACUGCAGAGCUAGGGAGUGGGAGAGGUAGACGGUACUCGGUAGGAAGGGGUAAAAUCCUUUGAUCUAUUGAUGACCACCUGUGGCGAAGGCGGUCUACCAGAACACGUCCGACGGUGAGGGAUGAAAGCUGGGGGAGCAAACCGGAUUAGAUACCCGAGUAGUCC
rnacentral:rRNA from 1 species